rnacentral:rRNA from 1 species
GACGGAGGGUGCUAGCGUUGUUCGGAAUUACUGGGCGUAAAGGGCGCGUAGGCGGCUGCUCGAGUCGGGUGUGAAAGCCCGGGGCUCAACCCCGGAACGGCACCCGAGACUGGGCGGCUCGAGACCGGGAGAGGAGGGUGGAAUACCCAGUGUAGAGGUGAAAUUCGUAGAUAUUGGGUGGAACACCGGUGGCGAAAGCGGCUCUCUGGCCCGGUUCUGACGCUGAGGCGCGAAAGCGUGGGGAGCAAACAGG